rnacentral:rRNA from 1 species
GACGAACGCUGGCGGCGUGCUUAACACAUGCAAGUCGAGCGGUAAGGCCCUUUCGGGGGUACACGAGCGGCGAACGGGUGAGUAACACGUGGGUGACCUGCCCUCAGCUCUGGGAUAAGCCUGGGAAACCGGGUCUAAUACUGGAUAUGACUCCAUGACGCAUGUUGUGGGGUGGAAAGCCUUGUGCGGCUGAGGAUGGGCCCGCGGCCUAUCAGCUUGUUGGUGGGGUGAUGGCCUACCAAGGCGACGACGGGUAGCCGGCCUGAGAGGGCGACCGGCCACACUGGGACUGAGACACGGCCCAGACUCCUACGGGAGGCAGCAGUGGGGAAUUUUGGACAAUGGGCGCAAGCCUGAUCCAGCAAUGCCGCGUGUGUGAAGAAGGCCUCGGUUGUAAG